UACAGGGGGGGCAAGCGUUGUUCGGAAUUACUGGGCGUAAAGGGCUCGUAGGUGGCCAACUAAGUCGGACGUGAAAUCCCUCAGCUUAACUGGGGAACUGCGUCCGAUACUGGAUGGCUUGAGUUUGGGAGAGGGAUGCGGAAUUCCAGGUGUAGCGGUGAAAUGCGUAGAUAUCUGGAGGAACACCGGUGGCGAAGGCGGCAUUCUGGACCAUAACUGACACUGAGAGACGAAAGCCAGGGGAGCAAACGGG
rnacentral:rRNA from 1 species